GGAGGUAGUGACAAUAAAUCUCAAUACGAAGCCUUUGGUUUUGUAAUUGAAUUGAGAACAAUGUACAAUCGUUAUCGAUAAACAAUUGGAGGGCAAGUCUGGUGCCAGCAGCCGCGGUAAUUCCAGCUCCAAUAGCGUAUAUUAACGUUGUUGCAGUUAAAAAGCUCGUAGUUGAAGUUUAGAUGGUUUGAAGGGGGUGUUAGUAUUCGUACUAUCUGCUCUCUUUCGAUUAUCGACUUCCAGGUAAGCUCAAUAAUCCCUCCGGGGACUAUCGAGCCAGACUGGUCUUUUACUGUGAGAAAAUUAGAGUGUUUAAAGCAGACUUUAUUUAGUUUGAAUAGAUUAGCAUGGAAUAAUAAGAUUGGCUUUCAUAGUCGAUUUUUUGGUUUGUUUAUGAAAGCAAGAUUAAUAGGGACAGUUGGGGGUAUUCAUAUUCAAUAGCUAGAGGUGAAAUUCUAUGAUUUAUGGAAGAUGAACAAGUGCGAAAGCA
rnacentral:rRNA from 1 species